AUUAACUACAUGCAUCAUCCACAUGCAUCACUUAGCAUUUAUAUGCAUCAACAUGGAUUCACAAUUCUCUCAGACAUAACGGCGACCUAGUCGCUUCGGUAAGCACAACCCAUCUUAACUCACUCUCCGAUUGCUCGUAGUCACUUGCAAUCGGCCGCCCGCGGCACCAGCUAUCUGACUCGGCCCGAACUCGCAAUUGCGCACCAACCGUGCGCCGCUUCGCAGCCCCGAAAAUUAUAGGUCCUCG
rnacentral:lncRNA from 1 species